UCACCAUGUUGGCCAGGCGGGUCUCCAUCUCUUGCCCUCGUGAUCUGCCCACCUCAGCCUCCCAAAGUGCUGGGAUUACAGGCGUGAGCCACCACACCCAGCCUAUACACAGUAUCUAAAUUUAUUCUUUGUAACAACCCUAUACAGUAGAGAUACUGCUUCACGUAUUACAACCAGAAAAUUUGGAGAGGUUAAAGAAUUUGCCUAUAGCCACCCAGUAAGGAAGUGGAGCCAGGGUUCAAACGCUGGUCUCAUUCUCAGCCCUGGUGGACACUGGCUUUCAGAGCUGUAACUUGAAUUUUGGUGCUCAGAACCAGCUGCACAAAAGCUCAGCAAAUGGCUUUGUGAUUUAUUAUGAAACUCAAAGAAAUAAAGAACAACCCAGCAGCUUCUUAACUUUAAUUUUCCUUGCUAAUGACAGUUUCCAGCUGAAGAAAUCCUUGCUCUGUCAACAUGUAAAUAUAACUUUUUUUUUCAAUGUCUGUUUCUGGGACAGAGCCUCCCAGGAGGCCUUGCACUGUGCUGCAUCUGGUCCCUGGAGUUUUACAGCCUCACUACAAACACAAAACAGAGUGGUGAACACAAGCAAUCCUGAGUUGCAUAAAUGCACUGGAUGCCCAUGCUAGACUAGGAAAGUUCUUCCUAUUCAGGAGAAACAGGCCAGGGGAGGCCAAGGGGAAUAGGAGAGGUUCAUGCGUAGGUAGGAUUUAGGACCAGAGGAGAAGAAUUGCAAGGAAGAACUGGAAGUAUACAGUUGAGUCUGGGAAGAGCUCACAUUGAGAAGUGGCAACACAUACAGGUGGAAAAGUAGGUUGGAGCCAAAUUGCUGUGGACUUUUAAGUGCCAGAAGAAGGAGUUGGAAGCUGGGAGACCAGGCAGGAAGCAGUUAUGCUUCAGGGGAGAGAGAGAGCAAGGGUCUGUCCCAAAGUGGGAGCACAGGUAAGAAAAGAGUGAGAGGCAUUUUGAAGGAAGAAGGCUUCUCUGUCUCCUGUGCUCAGGAGCCCUGCCCUCUGCAAGGCAGUGGGACUGGUAGUGCUGAUUUAACUGAUCUGCCAGUGGAUGCAUUGGGCCUCACUGAUGACACGGCACCCUUCUUGGAGGGGAGUGGGACUCUGGCCCCCCUACCUCCGUGUUCAACUGCCCACAUCACUCAACCUUUCCUGUCCACCCUCAUCUGCAAAAACAGCAUGAGAAAACUGCUUCCUAAGUUUAUUGUGAGGUUGAAUAAGGAAGAUGCAAAGCACAAGGCCUGGCGCUUGUAAUGACUCAGCAGAUGGGAACGACCAGCGUGAAUAUUCUGCACCGUUGGUCAGCUAAGACCUGCUAUUGAGAGUGGCUAUUCUCCUCUUUCUCUGUGAAACGUUAGACACUGGCAGACAACUGAAGGUGAAAUCAAGCAAGUUUGAAGUGUGGUCUCUCUCUGGGGCUCCUUAUCAGGUAAGUUGGACAUAAGCAAACUUCCUAACAAAAGAGCCAUAAGUUGUUUGAUUCUGAUGGCGAAGCAUGACUUCAGAGUUUCUUAUUCUAUAAAUUGUACAGACAGACUUUCCUUCCUUCUUUGUGUUUAUACUAUGAUAUCUUGGGGCCAAGCUAUAGCGGAGCCCCUGAAUGGGAAUUUAGGAUGCUUUUGGACCCCUUCCAUAGAGGUCAAGUCCUGGGAAUACUGGAAGGGUCUUCACACAAGAGCUCCCUUGUCCCAUUCCCUUAUGUCCUGGACUUAGAAAGAGAGGAGGAACUAACAUUUAACUACCUCUAUACAUGCCGCACCUGUGCUGUGGAUUUGACACAUGUCAGGUUACGUAACCCUCACACCAGCCCCAUGAGAUAGGGGUUGUUACCCGCAUUGUUAUAAAUGAGGAAACAGCCUUGGUUGAAGGGUCUUGCCCAAACUCACACAUCUGGCCAUCAUUGCAACCAAAAUUCUGUCUCUUGUGCCUCUGGCUGAAGCCCCUUAUUUCCUGCAUACACUCCUCCCAGGGCUCCUGAGGCCGUGUGGUAAGCCAGCUGCUGCUGUUACUAUGAGUUUCCUUUUUCAAUGUUUUUGUUUGUUUGUUUGUUUGUUUUAAGAGACGAGGCCUCGAUGCGUUGCCCCGGCUGGCUGGAGCGCCGUGGCUGUUCACAGGCACAAUUGUAGCUUACUGCGGACUCAAACUCCUAGGCUCAAGCAAUCUUCUUGUCUCAGCCUCUCGAGUGGCAGGGACUACAGGUGUGCUCCGCCAUGCCUGGCCUGUUACCAUGACGUUCCAGUUCAGCAAAUUUUUUGUUACAGGGUGAUUGAGAGGUUUGUAGUUCCAUAAUGGUGACUUGCUAAAAUGAUUACCUGUAACUAUAUAACUGGAAAUAAAUUUAAACAAGUGCAAACUCUAAUCAGCCCCAAAUAACAUCUUAAUAGCAAGUAGAGGCCAGAUUAAAUGGAAGCAAAGCCAUAGGACAGAGUACAGAAAGGCGUGGUGACAGGAGUUUCUUGUCUGUCUCUAAGGAAGUAGGAUGGGAUGGAGAGUCAAUUCAAUUCAGACAGAAACUGAAGAUCAAACAACAGGACAUUUUAGCUUCCAUUUUAACUGUGUAUUUUACAGUUGGAUUUCAAAGAAGAUAAAUAAAUUGUAUUUGCACCUAUCAUCUUUUCAAAUAUCUUUUGCCGGUGAAGUCAUUCAAUAGAUUGAGUGUCCUUGUGGUCAAGACCUUACACAUGUCAUGUGUGGAAGAGGAGAGACAGCACCCCGCGGCAGAAGGUCUCACAAUCUGAGAGAGGAGAAAUGGGAGGAAGGAGCUGUAGAAGAAAGACAAAAUACAGACCCAGUAACGUGUCCGAGAGUGGGAGCCCUGACAGCUGUGGGGGUGUUCCAUGACAGCAAUGAUGUUCCAUGGCUGGCAGCCCGAUCAAGCGGAGACUCAAAGGGCAUCUGUGGCUUGGAACAGGCCUGGGUCCAGAUCUGGCCCUUAACUCUCAAGUUUCAGAAACUCCAUGUUGUAAUCAGCCCACACCACGUUGAGCCGGCCUCAAGGAAUGGACUCUGGCCAACCAAACUCCCACAGUAGACGGAUGGGAAAACCAGCAUGCGAGUUGAAGUAAUGUACCACCAGAGACACACCUUUCUAACUACUAUUCAGAAAAACUGAAUUAGCAUUUAGAAAAUUGCUUGUUAACCAGGAGUCAGGGUAAAAGUCUUCAGGGGAGUGUGGCUCAGAUUGUGGUAGAGUCUGGAACGUCUUUACCAUUCCCUGACACCCCCGGGGAGACACUAGCUAGAUUCUUACUCUUCACCUCUCUUCUUCUAGGCUCCUUACAGACUCAUGCCUAUCCACUUUAAUUCUCAUCAAAUAACGUGACUUACUACAAGUUACCUUGUCAUUACUUUUUGUAAUUUAAUCUUCUAAUAAACUUUGGGUUAUCUAAUCUUGAUGUAGCAAACCAUGAUAUCCUCAGCCAUGCAUUUGCAAAAUCACCCCAAGGGUGGGUUGCAUCUGCAAGUGUUGAAUCUCAAUUAUAUUGUGAAGAUUCUUAUGGCUUCCCCUUCAAAUCCUGACACCCUUUGACCUUGUCCCCAAAUUCCAGAGGUGCUGUUAUCCAUAUAGAUAACAAAUAUGGAUUCCAGAAGUGCUGGAAGAUUCUGGAAAAUAAGAGGAACUCAAUUCAUAUUGGUCUGAAACAGGUUCACAAAAAAGCUAGUCUCACAGCACUCCUCUUUCAUGUCUGAUGUAGCACAGGUAUAUGGACAGCUCAUCCCUGGAGCUCAUGGUAACAGAGUUCCUUCUAGCCUGCUUCUGUUGUAGUUAGACUGGGUGGUUUAAACAACAAAUAUUUAUUUCUCACAGUCCUGGAAGCUAAAAAAAUCCAACAUCAAGAUACCAGCAGAUUCUGUUUUGGUGAGGGCUCUCUUCUUGGCUUGCAGACAGCCACCUCCUGACUAUGUCCUCAUGUGGUGGGGAGAGUGAGCUCUGGUCACUUCCUCUUAAGGACAAUAACCCAGUAAUGGAGGCCCCACCUUCAUGCUCUCAUUUAAAUUUGCCAGAGGCCCCGCCUCCUAAUAAAUACCAUCACACUCGGGGAUUAGGGCUUCAGUAUAUGAACGGCAGGGGCACAUUCAGUCCAUAGCAAAUGCCCACCCAGUUCUGCUCUACCAGAUAUUUUCUAUUAAGUGGGGAAAAUAUGGAUAGUUUUCAGUACACAUACAACUGUUUUGGUUUUGGGGGCCCAAACAAAUGGUGAAACAGAAAGUUUGUUUUCUAACCAGCUUAUUAAAUGAGUUUCAAGUACAGGGUAAAGAAAAUUAAUGUAACUAAAUCUUGGGACAUGAUUUUACUGAGGACUGUCCCGGGUCUUUUGAGGCUGCAAUUAGAGACGAGACCAGACCUUUCCAUUCCUCAUCUGCUCUGCUGGACUCCAGAGCGCUGCCUUUCUCCAGAAAGGAAAAUUAAAAACACAAAUUCUCAAGUGGGUUGAUAGUAAUUCAGCCCAGCAAAUUUUACUUUCCAUUAAAAGUCACCAGCUGUCAUGUGCUUAGCUUUAAAUGGAAAUAACUUGCUCUCAAAGAACAUUUUUCAGUUGAUGUCAUUUGUGAGUUUUAUUUUCUCCUAAUGAAAAAUGGAUUUGCAUUAGUGCAACUUUGGUGACAGGAAAUCCCUGGAUGGAGGCCUGAGCUGGUGAUGUGCCCCUGCCCUGGGGAAAGCUAAUUACCAGCCAGCUGGAAGAUUGACGCUGUGGUCAGGAGGGGCCUUGGGGGAACAGAGGGGAGGAGUGGUGAUAAUGGUCUGUCUUCUUCGCAGUGAGAGUCCCUGUGGUGCUUCUUCCCUUAAAAAAAAAAAAAGAAAAAGAAACAUUAAAAAUGCUUUUAAGUGUUGAGAUUUUGGAGAGGCAGUGAAUAUUUUAACGUGCUGAAUGUUUUUUAGGGAGGCAGCCCUCCUGAGCUGCUAAUACUCCUGUGCUCAGAGCCUGUCACAUCUGAGGCCUCAUCCCUACAGAGCUCUGGGCGGAAGAAGCCUCUCUGUGGCCCUCCGCUGUGUUCUGGUGCCUCCCAGAAUCUCUUGUCGGUGGCAAUUGGAAUGAUCUCUUCAUGACCCUCAAGAACAAAACAAAGAGAAUCUCUAGCCUGAAGCUCCUUGAAGGCUGAACUAGUCCCUUAUGGGGUCCUGACUGUGGCACCUCCCGGGAGAGCCAGGACACUUAGGAGCCCCCUGCAGUGGGCCUGGCACACAGAGGAGGCAGGAGGGAAAUGCCUAGAACCCUCAGCUUUCCCUCCUGGGAGCCCCUGGACAGGGCGGGCAGAGCAGACUCUUCAAGAGUCAUUCCAGCAGGGUCCUGACCCACUGAAAAGAAUGAACGGAGAGACCAGAGACACAGGGAGCUAGUGAAACCCGGAAACAGAAAGGGAGAUGCCAGCAGCUGCGGCAUUCACAGGCUCCAGACUGAAAGCUGGCAGUGUAGUUAAAACCGUGUCCUUAAGUGUGCUCUCUUGCCUCACUGGUCCCCUACAUACAUGCACACACAUGCACAUGCACACAUGGGCAUCACACACCCACCUCUGGGGCAACAUCCGUGAAUAUAGCAGCACUCAAACCUGGGGCUAUACCCAAGGGCCAUCCCAGCCUAGGCAAAGCCUCCCUCCACCCUGUCUCCGUGCUCACAGCAAGGGCUUAGAAGUGUCCAAGAAUUUUUGAAUAAUGUUCUUGACAGACACCAAAGCUUUUAACUCCUCCAGCGCAUGGAGAGCUGGGGCUGCCCCCAGGGAAGGCUCCCCUGGCAGCUCCUGUCUGAGCAGCUGGGGCCAGCUCCAGGAACACUAAAUUCUGGCUGCAUUUCCAGCCAAGGCCCGGUUACUUUAGAAUCCCUCUCCUCCCCCCUUGUCUUUUCAAGCAGGAGCCAGCCAAGGUAUUCGUCAUGUUUCCGUGCUACCCUGCUGCUUGAUUUAUGCACACGCAGGACUGGGAAGAAGAUGCCAGAGGGGGAUGAAGGCUAGCCCCAAGGGUGAGAGGACAUGGAGUGCUGGACCUUCCUGGCACCCCAGGGGCCACUGAAAGGGUCCCUGGUUUUUGGAUCAAUUCUGUUCAGCUCAAGGUCGGGAUCACAUGGGCUCCACAGCCCCGGGGAGCAGAGGAAUGGAGAUAGGGCGCACUCCAGCUCUCUCGCUCUUGCUGUCUUUUUUGUGUCUCACACUGUGAGAUCUUGGCCAUAAAAGGAGUGAAGCUUCACUUGCCCUCUCACUGGGCUUCUCCUAAAAGGGCUUUCCGAAAAAUUUCCAGCCUUCUCCUUCGGGACACUGGAUGUGGUCUCUUUGGCCAAAGAGAAAACAAGUAACAGAUGAAGCCCUUGCAGAUGAGGAGGCCAAAACCGAGAUGUUAAUCACCUCAAAAUAUGCGUGUUGCUCUCUCCAGUGCCUCGCUUGGCUCUCCUCAGAGGAUCUUUGAUUGGGGAUUUUCCCCCUGGGGGUGGGGGAUUUGCUGUUAACAUUUGGGAACGUGUUCGAGGCUCCAAGUUGCAAUGACAAGACAAUUGUCAUUCAGUGUCUAACAUGCCUGUUGUGGGGACUCUGAACGGCUGAAAUAUUGACUGCAGCUCUUGGUUAAACUCAUACUGCUACAACACUCCCAUAAAAGCUCAAGAUGCUGUCAUCUGAGAUGAAUAAAAAUGCCUCUUUUUAUUCCACUGCAUAUGAAAACAUGAGAUCAUUGGAAUAUAUUUAGAGUGAGAUUUGGCAGCCUAUACAUGUUUACAAUUCUUGGACUCAAAGCUCUAAUGUGAAUCGGAGACACUCUUUUUCCUUCUUGCCUUCCUUUCUUUCUCUAAGAAGGUGAAUGCUGAUUCCAAGAUUCAUAAUUCCUUUUCUUGAUAUUACCCAAAGUUCACCUUGCUAAGAGACUAAUGACAUCCACAGUUUCAAUGGCCAGCCAGAGAGCCCGAGCCUUGAUGCGUUAAUGCAAUGAUUCAACCACUGAUGGGGCUCCUCACCAUCCAUCACUCAAGGCAAAGCCUCCACUGGGCUUGAACAGACUAUCCAGAAGUACUGCCUUUUCCUCAGGUCUUUGAAUCAUGACCGGGUCUGAUUCUACUGGAUAGAGGUCUACAAUGCCUUAGGGUCAUUGACUCUUGUUAUCGCAUAGAUGUUCGUUCCUUUCUGAAGGAAAGCAUGGACUCCCUUCUCCAGAAGGAAGGCAGGAACAGCAUGGAAUCAACACAGAGGCUGCCUGUGCACCUCAUCUCUAGGGGGCUGGUCCUCCAUCCUGACUGCACAUACAAUCAACAGGACAGCUUUAAAAACACUGAUUUUCUGGGAUUUGUGGUCCUGGAGAAGGGACUGGCGGAGGAGAAAGAUUAAGAGUUGGCUUUGCCCGCUUCUGUGGACUGUCCAGAUGCCCCAGAGUGGGCCAACCCCGUUUCUUAGGAAACCAGGCAUCCAGGGCAGGCAGAAUGUCUUCCUUUGGGUGGAAGAAGAAAUUGGCAAGAAGGUCUCAAAGGUCACUUCCCAGCAGUUUGAAGCUGAAGCUGCUGAUGAGAAGGAUGCAGUUGACAAUGACGAAGGGAACUGGCUUCAUGCCAUUAAACGUAGGAAAGAAAUUCUUCUUGAAGGCUGUGCUGGGAAACGUAAACAACUGAAGGAUGAAGAAGCCAGUUUGGCUGAAAAUAAAAGAUACCGGUAGGCAAUUCAGAAGUGAGAUAAAGUACGACAGUUAACCCCAAAUGAUGCUACCCUAUACGAGAUGAAAUCACAGAUGCUAAUGUCUCUGCAUGAAAUGUUCCCAGCAGUGCAUGCAGCAGAAAUAACCGUGCAGUGAAAUCCACAUUCAUGGGAGUCUUGGCAAACUUUGGGACGUGCUCAACUUGGAUUAGGAGAGAUAAUCCUGGCAGUUCAAGUAGCCCUUCACAUCUCUCCAGUGAACCCUGAAAUAUGGAAAGAAGACCUCUCCUGGGCAAGAACACCCCAGCAGCAGCAGAAGGUAGCACAGAGGAUUAAAAAAAAAAAAAAGCGAAGCACCAGCUGACGUAACACACUUUUCACCCAAGUCAAUUCCAGACUAUGACUUUGAAAGUGAUGAGAUUGUUGCUGUUUGUGCGGCUAUUGCUGAGAAAAAGAAUACAGUUUCCGCAAAUAAAACAAUGGUUACCGUGUCCGCUCUGGGGCCGUAGAGACUGUAACUGAAGAGGAAGAUGGUGCUACACCACCAGGUGGUCUGUAUUUAUCAGAGCCCCAUGAAGCAGCGUGCAAAAGGUUAUCUGAAUCCGUCUUUUUGAUGGCCACCUGAAGUUUUGACAGAGACAUUUACUCUGGAGAUAGAUAGCAGAACUCCUGGUUGUAAAGUAAGUUUUUCAGAUGAGGCACACAAAAACUAAAAUGGCAGGAUUAUUGUAUAGUGUUCGGAAUAUGCUUUAAUAAGUUAUGAUUUAUAUUUCUCAAGGUUAAAAUUCUGAGUAAAAUUGUUUUUGAUUAAUAAACAAUUUAACCUGAAUAUGUAAAUGAACACAUUUUAAAGACAAAACUUGAAAAGAAUAGUGAAUAACUUGGCCAGUGUUAUUGAAAUGCUGUCUCAACUUUUGUUUUAUGAUAAAGGGUGUGAUUUCCCUCCCUCUGAGAAAUAUACUGCUCGUUAUUUACUCUCUUUUUCUUGCUUUAUGAGAGUAAGUCUGUCAGAAAGCUUGAAUAUUUUUGACAUUCAUUUUGAUUCUACGUUGUCAUUUGGCUAUAUGUGGAAUCUUUGAAAGUUUGGCUGGAAAUGCACACAGAUGUGUACAUUCUGAACAUUUUCUGACGUUUAUCUUAAUUCUGAUUUGUGUUCCUGUUUUGCCUUUGAAGUUAUAACAAUGAUAGAUAGUUGUCUCCUUCAGUAUUUGUUAGAAGUGUGAAGUUUUGAUAAAUAUGAGAAUGAUGGUUUUAUUUUUUUUUUUUUUUAUGUAGAAACUGGUCUACGUAUGAAAAUGUGCAUCCUGCAAAGUCAGGUGUCAAGAUUUGAGUAGGAAUCUAUAUGACUUGAAUCUCCCCUAUUUCCUGAAUAAAAGUGACAAGUUUCAGUAUUUAUA